rnacentral:rRNA from 1 species
AUGGCUGAUGAGUCAUGGAGGCUGCCGAAUUCAGUGCAGCAACUGGCUGCCAACAUGCAAGAACCACCGAGCCAGUACUUGCUCAGAGAGCAAGAACUGCUUGGUGGCAACCUUGCUGGUGCCGAGAUGCCGGAGCCCGUCCCAACAAUCGAUCUUGGCCUGCUGUCUGCAUCCAACGAUCCUGAGGAAGCCGCCAAGCUGCUGUCGGCACUGAAGACCUGGGGAUUCUUCCAGAUUUCUAACCAUGGAAUGGAGGCCUCUAUGAUGGAUUCUGUGAUGACCGCAUCAAGGGAAUUUUUUCACCUGCCGCUCGAAGAGAAGAAGAAAUGCAGCAACCUGAUAGAUGGCAAGCAUUUCCAGGUAGAAGGGUAUGGAAAUGACCAGGUGAGGACUCAAGAUCAGAGAUUGGACUGGUCUGAUCGACUGCACCUUAGAGUUGAGCCAGAGGGUGGGAGAAACCUUGCCCAUUGGCCUACACAUCCCAAAUCUUUCAGGGAUAAUCUACAUGAGUAUGCAUUGAAGUGCAAGAGAAUCAAAAGCGACAUCCUUCGGGCAAUGGCCAAGAUUUUGAAGCUUGAUGAAGACUGCCUUGUUAAUCAAUUUAACAGCAACGCCCCCACUUUUGCUAGAUUCAACCACUUCCCUCCAUGUCCAAGACCUGAUCUUGUCCUGGGCAUCAAGCCUCACGCCGAUUUCCCUGCUCUCACGGUUCUCCUCAUGGACAAAGACGUCGCAGGGCUGCAAUAUCUUAGAGAUGGAACCUGGUACAAUGUUCCAGCUGCGUGUGACCACACCUUGCUGAUCAACAUUGGUCUUACAAUGGAGAUAAUGACCAACGGGAUCUUCAGGGGGCCAAUGCAUAGAGUUGUGACUAAUGCCGAUAAAGAGAGGAUAUCAGUGGCCAUGUUCUAUGGUGUGGAUCCCGAGCAAGAGAUCGGGCCGAUAGCUCAUCUGUUAAGUGAGGAGCAAUCGGCACAAUACAGGAAAAUGAAGGCCAAGGACUUGUUAGUGUUGCACCAUGAACAUUACGCUGGAGGCCGAGGACCAAGAAUUGCCGAUGCACUGAAGAUCUAA